GCAUUGAUGAAAUCAGUCUAAUCUCUUGGAAACUUCACCCAGAGACGAUAGAAAAACAACCAGUACCUAAGGUCACAAACUUUCUCAUCAAUUGAGCUUGGUAAACAUGUCGCACGAGCUGGUGCUAUUGGAUUACUGGGCUAGUCCUUAUGUUGCAAGGGUAAAAUUGGCACUGGAAGAAAAGGGUAUCACUAACUAUGUAUGUCAACAUGAAGACUUGCUCAAUGAUAAAAGUUCACUUCUUUUGAAAAUGAACCCGGCUCAAAAGAAAGUUCCAGUUUUAAUACAUAAUGGAAAACCUGUUUGUGAUUCCCUCGUAAUACUGGAGUAUAUAGAUGAGGUCUGGAAACACUAAUCUCCAACUUUGCUUCCAACUGAUCCUUAUCAGAGGGCACUAGCUCGCUUUUGGGCAGAUUAUAAUGAAAAAACGCUCUUCAACUUUAUCCGAAAGUUAUGGAGACAAAAAGAAGAAAUUGAACAAGAGGAAAAGAAGGAUUUUAUCAAUUGCCUAAAGUUGUUGGAAGGGGAGCUUGGAGAGAAGCCUUAUUUCAGUGGAGAUACUUUUGGUUAUUUGGACAUUGUAUUAAUUCCAGGUUAUAGCUGGUUUUACUCCUAUGAGACAUUCACUGGACUGAGCAUAGUUGCCGAGUGUCCGAAACUUAUUGCAUGGGCUAAGAGAUGUGAGGAGAGGGAUAGUGUGAUAAAGUCUUUACCAAACGAGCUUGAAAUCUAUAAUUAUGUUUUGGAACUACAGAAGAUUUUUUUAAAGGAUUAAGAAAGGGGGAGCAUUCAAAGAUCAAUUCAUGGAUGUUGGUUAUUUUGUUCUUCUUAACAAUUACAAAGUAGUAUUGUGACUUGUGAGAAUUGGGCAGCCACCAGCCAGUAAUGGGGGUGGUUGGUUAAGUGCCCCUUUGUGAUGUAUUACCUUUUUUUUUUUAUUUCUAUUUAGUUGUAACAUUUUGCUAUUCAUAGUCUUUAAUAAAUUAUCUUGAUUAUAAUAAAAUAUUUUAUUUCGUGUUGGUAAAUCUCAUGAAAGUUGAGUAUUUUACAUUCUCCUUUUUCUUAAUAGUCUCAACAUUUAAAUGGGAACAAAGGACAACAUUAGUGAAAAAAAAUCUCAAACGUUCGGUUUUUUAACCUCA